UCCUCCGCAGGCGGCCUCGCGUGUCCAGUAACCUCCCUCUCUAGCGACGCUGCUAACCCCGCCCAGAAGCCCUUCAGGAAAGCUUCGAUAGGUUCAGGCAUCAAUUUGAUUACAUAGUGGCAACUCCUCCCGCCUUUCUCCCUUUGUUAUUUUUUUCCUGUUUCGGCGAUUGGUGUGUUGCUUGUUCGAGGAAUAUGGGGUUCGGUUUGGUUGAUCUUGAAGGGUUUGUCUCGUUUUGGAUGACAUUGAUCUUGAGAGGGAUCUUUUCUUUCUCUUUUCCUCUUGUCUUCCCCUUUGUUUGUUGCGUAAUUGAUGAUCUAGGUCUUGUUCAUGCGAAAAUUCUGGUUUUUUUCGGCGUGCGUUUAUUAUUUUUUUUUCUCGUCGUGCGUUUAUUUAGUUCACUGCCGCUCGGAGCUAUUCGUUAUACUUUAUGUGAUUCCAAAUCUGAUGCCUUUGCUCCUUUCGACAGUCAUUAUGCGUUUGGCGGUCAUCUUUGUAAAGUUGCAAAAGCUGCUUUCUGUUGCAUCGUAUAUACCAUACUUUUGUAUAUUUUGUAAAUCACCAUGUGAGUUUUAUGUAAAAUCGUUUUGUUCUGAGACAGGAUUUUGAGAUUAGCCUGACAUGAAUCUACUAGACUUUUGUUGUACAAGAGUUUCUGUUAUGAAGGAACGAAGAGCCAUAGCACUCGGUGCUUGUUUUUUGGACUUCAUGAAUGAUGAGGGAGGAAAGAGGCAGGCCCUUGCCGAAGUUUGGCGAGUGGGAUGUCAACGAUCCUGCUUCCGCAGAGGGGUUCACUGUGAUCUUCAACAAAGCACGUGAUGAGAAGAAAACUGGUGCGAAUACACGUGAAAUGGACUCUCCGGCUAAGGAGGAUCCAAAUUUUAAACCUGGAACUUAUUCUUCCAGGUCACCUUCUAGGAAAUGGUUUUGCUGCAUUCAAGGAUCCACAGAACCUUAGAGAUGGUUGGAUGCUUGUCACAUAGAAGUUACGGACUCA